GAGAGAGGGAGGGCAGGCAAGAAAACUUUUCACUUCUGAGGAGCCACGGAGGAAGCGUGUGUGUGCUGGAGCGGCGACCAUGCAGGAGGAGUCUGGAGACAGCAACGGGGUGGCAGAGUGGCUGUGCCCCCUGUGCCAACAAGGACAAGCAGACAGAUCCUCACUUUCUCUACAUCUCACUGACCAACACAAUGUACUUCCAUCCUGUGUGGACAAACUGCUAGACAUUCUACACCGCAGUUACUUAUAGAUGUUGUACGACCAAAAUGGAAAAACACAGUUCUCCAAAGAAAUCUACAAAUAGUACAAGCGU
rnacentral:lncRNA from 1 species